rnacentral:rRNA from 1 species
UGGCUCAGGAUGAACGCUAGCUACAGGCUUAACACAUGCAAGUCGAGGGGCAGCAUCAUCAAAGCUUGCUUUGAUGGAUGGCGACCGGCGCACGGGUGAGUAACACGUAUCCAACCUGCCGACAACACUGGGAUAGCCUUUCGGAAGAAAGAUUAAUACCGGAUGGCAUAGUUUUCCCGCAUGGGAUAAUUAUUAAAGAAUUUCGGUUGUCGAUGGGGAUGCGUUCCAUUAGGCAGUUGGCGGGGUAACGGCCCACCAAACCAACGAUGGAUAGGGGUUCUGAGAGGAAGGUCCCCCACAUUGGAACUGAGACACGGUCCAAACUCCUACGGGAGGCAGCAGUGAGGAAUAUUGGUCAAUGGACGAGAGUCUGAACCAGCCAAGUAGCGUGAAGGAUGACUGCCCUAUGGGUUGUAAACUUCUUUUAUACGGGAAUAAAGUGAGCCACGUGUGGCUUUUUGUAUGUACCGUAUGAAUAAGGAUCGGCUAACUCCGUGCCAGCAGCCGCGGUAAUACGGAGGAUCCGAGCGUUAUCCGGAUUUAUUGGGUUUAAAGGGAGCGUAGGCGGGUUGUUAAGUCAGUUGUGAAAGUUUGCGGCUCAACCGUAAAAUUGCAGUUGAUACUGGCGACCUUGAGUGCAACAGAGGUAGGCGGAAUUCGUGGUGUAGCGGUGAAAUGCUUAGAUAUCACGAAGAACUCCGAUUGCGAAGGCAGCUUACUGGAUUGUAACUGACGCUGAUGCUCGAAAGUGUGGGUAUCAAACAGGAUUAGAUACCCUGGUAGUCCACACAGUAAACGAUGAAUACUCGCUGUUGGCGAUAUACAGUCAGCGGCCAAGCGAAAGCAUUAAGUAUUCCACCUGGGGAGUACGCCGGCAACGGUGAAACUCAAAGGAAUUGACGGGGGCCCGCACAAGCGGAGGAACAUGUGGUUUAAUUCGAUGAUACGCGAGGAACCUUACCCGGGCUUAAAUUGCAACUGACUGAACCGGAAACGGUUCUUUCUUCGGACAGUUGUGAAGGUGCUGCAUGGUUGUCGUCAGCUCGUGCCGUGAGGUGUCGGCUUAAGUGCCAUAACGAGCGCAACCCUUAUCGAUAGUUACUAGCAGGUCAUGCUGAGGACUCUAUUGAGACUGCCGUCGUAAGAUGUGAGGAAGGUGGGGAUGACGUCAAAUCAGCACGGCCCUUACGUCCGGGGCUACACACGUGUUACAAUGGGGGGUACAGAAGGCAGCUACACGGCGACGUGGUGCUAAUCCCGAAAGCCUCUCUCAGUUCGGAUUGGAGUCUGCAACCCGACUCCAUGAAGCUGGAUUCGCUAGUAAUCGCGCAUCAGCCACGGCGCGGUGAAUACGUUCCCGGGCCUUGUACACACCGCCCGUCAAGCCAUGAAAGCCGGGGGUACCUGAAGUACGUAACCGCAAGGAGCGUCCUAGGGUAAAACUGGUG